GGUCGAAUACAGUUAGAAUGACUGCUAAUACCGGAUAAUGAACGUUAAGUCCAAAGAUUUAUCGCCGAAGGAUGAGCCCGCGUAGGAUUAGGGUAGUUGGUGGGGUAAAUGGCCCACCAAGCCGACGAUCCUUAGCUGGUCUGAGAGGAUGAUCAGCCACACUGGGACUGAGACACGGCCCAGACUCCUACGGGAGGCAGCAGUGGGGAAUAUUGGACAAUGGGCGAAAGCCUGAUCCAGCAAUGCCGCGUGAGUGAUGAAGGCCUUAGGGUUGUAAAGCUCUUUUACCAGGGAUGAUAAUGACAGUACCUGGAGAAUAAGCUCCGGCUAACUCCGUG
rnacentral:rRNA from 1 species